UCCUACGGGAGGCAGCAGUGGGGAAUAUUGCACAAUGGGGGAAACCCUGAUGCAGCCAUGCCGCGUGUGUGAAGAAGGCCUUCGGGUUGUAAGGCACUUUCAGUUGUGAGGAAAAGUUAGUAGUUAAUACCUGCUAGCCGUGACGUUAACAACAGAAGAAGCACCGGCUAACUCCGUGCCAGCAGCCGCGGUAAUACGGAGGGUGCGAGCGUUAAUCGGAAUUACUGGGCGUAAAGCGCACGCAGGCGGUUUGUUAAGCUAGAUGUGAAAGCCCCGGGCUCAACCUGGGAUGGUCAUUUAGAACUGGCACAAUAGAGUCUUGGAAAGGGGAGUGUAAUUCCCUGUGUUUAGGUGAAAACUAUAAAGAAAAAAGAAAAGAGGUCUGUCGCCCCCCCUCUUCCUCUGAAAA
rnacentral:rRNA from 1 species